UGUAAUUUAGUACAAAUCUCUGGUGGCAACACUGCCUCAAGUAGCCCUGCUGAGGCUGCCAGUCACAGACUCCUUCCCCUGGCACACUGCCCCAGGCCACCAUGGCAGACCACACCAAGGCAUAGCACCGCAGCAAAGUCAAAGCAUUAUAGACUGACUGCAGCCUCCAUUCCGCCGCACCACUCAGAGAGAGAAGAUAGGACAGGGUUGGAUGGGGUGACAGCAUUUGCAGUUUUCUUUUAGCUCUCGCUGCUCUAGUUUGUAAGCAAUACUCAAAUUAUGUUCAUCUCUCUACAUUAAGUCUGUUUUGCCCAUGACAGUAAUUGGUGAGUGACAUCCCUGUCCUUACCUCAACUCAUGAGCCUUUUUCAUCAUAUUUUCAAUGCCAGUUCUUUUUAGGAAUGGGAAUGAGAAAGCAGUAUGGUGGAACUGAGCUGUCGGAGUGACACCACUCAGCUGUGGGCCUUUGUGUAGCCAGGUUGGGCAUGUCACAGGCGAAUCAGACAGCAGUAUCCCAGCAGCUUCAAAACAUCUGCUGGUCUGCAGCCGUGCCAAGGUUUAUGGCGCAGGUGCCGCCCAUGCAAUCAACGUUGCCCUCAGGUCCCUGAGUUACCUAUUCUUUUCUCAAGUCCUCUGUUCUUCUUUAAACACAGCUGUGUGCUCUGUUUUUUACAUUUCUCUUCCCUCCUUCAUUUUCAAUUAUUUACACCUAGAUCUUGACCUCAAAUGUCUCCCUGGAUUGUGACUUUGAGUUACUCCCAUAAGUCCCCCCCAGCUCUUGGUUUCACAAUCAAUAUCACAGCACAUUGGUGCUCACUCAGAACCCCUCCCCGUGCCAAACCAAGCCUUAACUUCCUGCUGGAUCUGGUCCCACACCACAAGCCCUGCUCAAGAACCAGGCAGAGCUGGCAGACCUGUUCGUGCCUUGGUGAGAUGCCUCUGGGUAGCAGGGCCUCAGCAAGAGAUGCUGUGUCAAGCAGAUGGUGCCUGACGCAGGGUGCAGGACACCAUGUGAAGCCAGAGAUGGCUGCUCCAAGAGGAAGUGUCUUGCUGCUGGUCCUGAAGAGACUCCAAGGACUUCACAGGAUAAUCCUGGGCUUUCCUGCUCUUUUCCUGAGGAUGAAGGAUUUGUGCGAGGUGACUGUGAGGUGUGGAGGAAAAGGAAAAUCCCCAAGUGAAAGACAGGGCUUUUGGAAGUCAGAAUAAUCUCGUUUUGCCGGUAAUUCCAAAAAUAACUGAAUGACACUAAGAUGUUUUUGCGACUACUUAAAAUCCUGUUCUUUACACCUCUGUAUGUUUCUUAUUGUUUUCUGGCCUCACAGCUAGAGAUGGCCCACACCAACAGCAUACUGCUGCCCUCUCCCUGCGCUACUCGGCCUCUAUGCCUGCACAGCCUCUACAGUAGUGCCACAAUGCCCCAAGAAAACUCCCUGUCUGGACAGCAGGCUUCAUUGACCCUCUGAAGAUACCUUUCUCUGUUCAGGAAUAAAGCCAAAGCUUGGUGACUACUGGUGGAUGAUCUACAGCUACAGAGAACAGUCUGGAAGCCACCUUCUCAGACCAUGAGGAUGAAUCAUUCCGUGGCUAUCAUGAAUCAGGGCCCUGUGACAAGUGCCCUGAGCUCUUGCAAACAUACAUCAAAAGGGAGCAGCAUGAGGUGAGAAAAUAUUGAAGGCUAUGUGAGAUGCAUCACCAUAACAAGAUCCCUGAAGCAGUCAUCCUCACCUCUCCAAUACCUUUACUUAUCUCUGCUUCAUGGACCCAACCACUCCAGCCCAUGUUCUGCACAACAGGUUCCAUGAUCUUGGGUACCAUCAGCAGGCUGCAGGACUUAUUUUGUGUCUGAGUAUCAGCAAGACUCCAUCUGGAAUUUAAUCCAGCAUAGUAUCUCUGCAAUACCUGAAUACCGCAUGAAGCCUAACACCAAAUAAAGUCAGUGCUCGAGGUGUGAAUUUUCAUGAGGGCCACAGAGAUCGUUCAAUCACACAAUGCAACCUCCUCUGCGACAUAGGCCAAACAUUUCAUUUAGCUAGAGGUCCAAAAUUCUUGGUCAGCUCCAAAAUAGAUGCAGAGAAGAAGAGAAAUAAAGGGUGGCGGCUGCUGCUGCUUGUGGAUGUAGGGGCAUGAGGCAGCUACGGGCAUCUGACAGCAAAUCCCAAGGCACUGAGAAGGUUGAAUGAAAGGAAAGAAAAGAAAGGAAAAGAGAAAAUGAAAGGUAACUGUGUCUAAAAUUGACUCUACU